AGACUCUGGUUUCUCUUCAGAACGAAUAAAUCUUUCGCUUUUUAGUAAAGAUUUUCGUGGAGAGAAACAACCGUGAGUUUCAUGUAAUUUUGUUUUUUUCAUGCCUGGCUCACGCUGGCCU